UACGGGGGGGGCAAGCGUUGUUCGGAAUUACUGGGCGUAAAGGGCUUGUAGGUGGCCAACUAAGUCAGACGUGAAAUCCCUCGGCUUAACCGGGGAACUGCGUCUGAUACUGGAUGGCUUGAGUGUGGGAGAGGGAAGCAGAAUUCCUGGUGUAGAGGUGAAAUUCGUAGAUAUCAGGAGGAACACCAGAGGCGAAGGCGGCGACCUGGACAAGUACUGACACUCAACUACGAAAGCGUGGGGAGCAAACAGG
rnacentral:rRNA from 1 species